GGGCUGUUACAACAACCAAACGGACAGGCAUUCCAGCGCCACGGGAAUUUUCAGCAACCGUCUCAAGAGAGAGGUCUGUGCCACGUGGCCCCUCCAACCCCAGGAAACUGGUGUCCAGUCCAACUUCUUCUAGCACUCCCACCCCCACCAAGCACCUGAGGACCACUUCCACAAAGCCCAGGCAAGAGAAUGAAAGUGGAGAAAAGGCUGUGCUUGAGUCCCAGGUUCGGGAACUUUUGGCAGAAGCCAAAGCAAAAGAUAGUGAAAUUAACAGGCUUCGAAGUGAACUAAAGAAAUGCAAAGAGAAAAGGACUCUGAACACUGAAGGGACUGAUGCUUUGGGCCCAAACGUAGAUGGAACAUCAGUCUCACCUGGCGACACGGAACCUUUAAUAAGAGCUCUUGAGGAGAAGAACGAGAACUUUCAGAAAAAGCUUGCUCAUCUGGAGGAAGAAAACCAGGUCUUGAAGGAGAAACUGACCUAUCUUGAGCAAUCCCCCAGUUCAGAAGGGGCAGCAAGCCACACCUGCGACAGCAGCUGCCCAACAUCUAUAACUCAGGAGUCAAGCUUCGGAAGCCCGACUGGAGAUCGGUCGUCAAGUGAGAUUGACGAGUAUAAAAAAAAUGUCCAUGGAAAUGCAUUACGGACGUCGGGUUCCUCAAGCAGUGACGUCACCAAAGCUUCUUUGUCCCCAGAUGCCUCUGACUUUGAGCACAUUACAGCAGAUACCCCCUCGAGGCCUCUGUCCUCCACUAGUAACCCCUUUAAGAGUUCGAAGUGUUCUUCCACCGGGAGCUCCCCGCACAACGUGAGCGAACUGUCCCUGGCUUCCCUCACAGAGAAGAUUCAAAAGAUGGAAGAAAAUCACCACAGCACCGCAGAGGAACUGCAGGCUACUCUACAGGAAUUAUCAGACCAGCAACAGAUGGUGCAGGAAUUGACGGCCGAGAAUGAGAAACUGGUGGAUGAGAAGACGAUUUUAGAGACAUCCUUUCAUCAGCAUCGAGAGAGGGCAGAGCAGCUAAGUCAAGAAAAUGAAAAGCUGAUAAAUCUUUUACAAGGGCGAGGAAAGAAGGAAGAGCCCAGCACUCAAGAAGGGAAGAUCCUGGAGCUGGAGCAGAAGUGCACAGACAUCCUUGAGCAGGGCCGCUUUGAGAGAGAGAAGCUGCUCAACAUUCAGCAGCAGCUGACCUGCAGCUUACGGAAGGUCGAGGAAGAAAAUCAAGGAGCUUUAGAAAUGAUUAAAUGUCUGAAGGAAGAAAAUGAAAAACUGAACGGGUUUCUAGAACUGGAACGGCAUAAUAAUAGCGUGAUGGCCAAUACUUUGGAAGAGUGUAGAGUUACCUUGGAAGGGCUGAAGGUGGAGAACGGGUCUUUGAAGGCUCAUGUGGAGGGAGAGAAGCAGACGUCCACAGAGACCAGCCCCGCGGGGCCCAUGGCGGAGAGCUGUGACGCUCAAGAAAUGUUGCAGGUGGCUCGAGCUGAGAAAGAUCAACUGGAACUGUCUUGCGCUGAGCUCAGACAAGAAUUACUAAAGGCAAAUGGUGAAAUUAAACGUAUUUCAAGCCUGCUAGCCAAGGUAAGAGGGGCUAUCUCUCUAACUGGUAUUUGCUGA